rnacentral:rRNA from 1 species
CAAUAGCGUAUAUUAAAGUUGUUGCAGUUAAAAAGCUCGUAGUUGGAUUUGUGGCGUACGGUGUGUUCCGGGCACUUGUUGUCUGAGUAACCUGCUGUUGCCAUCCUUGGGUGGAACCUGUGUGGCAUUAGGCUGUCGUGCAGGGGAUGCCCAUCAUUUACUGUGAAAAAAUUAGAGUGUUCAAAGCAGGCUUAUGCCGUUGAAUAUAUUAGCAUGGAAUAAUGAGAUAGGACUUUUUUGCUAUUUUGUUGGUUUGCGCAAAGAGGUAAUGAUUAAUAGGGACAGUUGGGGGUAUUCGUAUUCCAUUGUCAGAGGUGAAAUUCUUGGAUUUUUGGAAGACGAACUACUGCGAAAGCAUUUACCAAGGAUGUUUUCAUUAA